rnacentral:rRNA from 1 species
UGGGGAAUUUUGGACAAUGGGCGCAAGCCUGAUCCAGCCAUGCCGCGUGAGUGAAGAAGGCCUUCGGGUUGUAAAGCUCUUUCGGCGGGGACGAAACGGUUCGUGCCAAUACCACGGACUGAUGACGGUACCUGAAGAAGAAGCACCGGCUAACUACGUGCCAGCAGCCGCGGUAAUACGUAGGGUGCAGGCGUUAAUCGGAAUUACUGGGCGUAAAGCGUGCGCAGGCGGUUUGUUAAGACAGAUGUGAAAUCCCCGGGCUUAACCUGGGAACUGCGUUUGUAACUGGCAGACUGGAGUGUGGCAGAGGGGGGUGGAAUUCCAAGUGUAGCAGUGAAAUGCGUAGAUAUUUGGAGGAACACCGAUGGCGAAGGCAGCCCCCUGGGCUAACACUGACGCUCAUGCACGAAAGCGUGGGGAGCGAAACAGGAUUAGAUACCCGAGUAGUCCCUGAGCGGGCUGGCAAGGCGCAU